GACGAACGCUGGCGGCGUGCUUAACACAUGCAAGUCGAACGGAAAGGCCCUGCUUUUGUGGGGUGCUCGAGUGGCGAACGGGUGAGUAACACGUGAGUAAACUGCCCUUGACUUUGGGAUAACUUCAGGAAACUGGGGCUAAUACCGGAUAGGAGCUCCUGCUGCAUGGUGGGGGUUGGAAAGUUUCGGCGGUUGGGGAUGGACUGGCGGCUUAUCAGCUUGUUGGUGGGGUAGUGGCUUACCAAGGGUUUGACGGGUAGCCGGCCUGAGAGGGUGACCGGCCACAUUGGGACUGAGGGACGGCCCAGACGCCUACGGGAGGCAGCAGUGGGGAAUAUUGCACAGUGGGCAGAAGCCUGAUGCAGCAACGCCGCGUGCGGGAUGACGGCCUUCGGGUUGUAAACCGCUUUCGCCUGUGACGAAGCGUGAGUGACGGUAAUGGGUAAAGAAGCACCGGCUAACUACGUG
rnacentral:rRNA from 1 species